rnacentral:misc_RNA from 1 species
AAGAGUUGCAAAACUCCAACCAUUGUUAACCUUACUGUCAUUCGUUUCCUCGGCGGACGGCCUCGCCCUAACCGCGACCCCUUUGCGGGGGGAGCGACCCGCCGGGGGCACUAAACUCUUAUUAUUAUGGCUUCUGUGAGUAUACUUUUAAAUAAGUUA